CGAUUCGAGUGGCGGACGGGUGAGUAACGCGUGGGUAACCUGCCUUACACAGGGGGAUAACACCUGGAAACAGGUGCUAAUACCGCAUAAGCGCACAGGGCCGCAUGGCCCGGUGUGAAAAACUCCGGUGGUGUAAGAUGGACCCGCGUCUGAUUAGCUUGUUGGCGGGGUAGAGGCCCACCAAGGCGACGAUCAGUAGCCGGCCUGAGAGGGUGGACGGCCACAUUGGGACUGAGACACGGCCCAAACUCCUACGGAAGGCAGCAG
rnacentral:rRNA from 1 species